rnacentral:rRNA from 1 species
GACGAACGCUGGCGGCGUGCCUAAUACAUGCAAGUCGAACGAGAGCGCCCGGUGCUUGCACUGGUCAAUCUAGUGGCGAACGGGUGAGUAACACGUGGGUAACCUGCCCAUCAGAGGGUGAUAACAUUCGGAAACGGAUGCUAAAACCGCAUAGGUCUUCGAACCGCAUGGUUUGAAGAGGAAAAGAGGCGCAAGCUUCUGCUGAUGGAUGGACCCGCGGUGCAUUAGCUAGUUGGUGGGGUAACGGCUCACCAAGGCCGUGAUGCAUAGCCGACCUGAGGGGGUGAUCGGCCACAUUGGGACGGAGACACGGCCCAAACUCCUACGAGAGGCAGCAGUAGGGAAUCUUCCGCAGUGGACGCAAGUCUGACGGAGCAACGCCGCGUGAGUGAAGAAGGUGUUCGGAUCGUAAAACUCUGUUGUUAGAGAAGAACAAGUGCUAGAGUAACUGUUAGCGCCUUGACGGUAUCUAACCAGAAAGCCACGGCUAACUACGUG